UACGAAGGGGGCUAGCGUUGCUCGGAAUUACUGGGCGUAAAGCGUGCGCAGGCGGUUUUGUAAGCCAGAUGUGAAAUCCCCGGGCUCAACCUGGGAAUGGCAUUUGGGACUGCAAGGCUGGAGUACGGCAGAGGAGACUGGAAUUCCUGGUGUAGCAGUGAAAUGCGUAGAUAUCAGGAGGAAUACCGAUGGCGAAGGCAGGUCUCUGGGCUGAUACUGACGCUCAUGCACGAAAGCGUGGGGAGCAAACAGG
rnacentral:rRNA from 1 species